AACGAACGCUGGCGGCAUGCCUAACACAUGCAAGUCGAACGAGACCUUCGGGUCUAGUGGCGCACGGGUGCGUAACGCGUGGGAACCUGCCCUUAGGUUCGGAAUAACUCCCCGAAAGGGGUGCUAAUACCGGAUAAUGCCUUCGGACCAAAGAUUUAUCGCCUUUGGAUGGGCCCGCGUUGGAUUAGCUAGUUGGUAGGGUAAAAGCCUACCAAGGCGACGAUCCAUAGCUGGUCUGAGAGGAUGAUCAGCCACACUGGGACUGAGACACGGCCCAGACUCCUACGGGAGGCAGCAGUGGGGAAUAUUGGACAAUGGGCGAAAGCCUGAUCCAGCAAUGCCGCGUGAGUGAUGAGGGCCUUAGGGUUGUAAAGCUCUUUUACCCGGGAUGAUAAUGACAGUACCGGGAGAAUAAGCUCCGGCUAACUCCGUG
rnacentral:rRNA from 1 species